rnacentral:rRNA from 2 species
AAAACGACUCUCGGCAACGGAUAUCUCGGCUCUCGCAUCGAUGAAGAACGUAGCGAAAUGCGAUAGUUGGUGUGAAUUGCAGAAUCCCGUGAACCAUCGAGUCUUUGAACGCAAGUUGCGCCCGAAGCCUUCCGGCCGAGGGCACGCCUGCCUGGGUGUCAUGC